AGGGGAGCUCAAUUAGCCCAUGUUGUGGCACCUGGUCAGGAGAUAGGAAAUUAAGGAUUAGACCCAGCUGGGAAGAACCCAAGCAGGUGGUUCCUGUAGCAAUGCAGGGCUUUACUUACAGGAGACAAAGGAGAGAGGGAGGGGGGAGUAGGAGGGAGUUCUCUUCUCCUCUGGCAAAGGAACCAUAGAGGGGCCUGCAGGGUGAAACACAUACCUUGGGAUUGUCCCUGAGGGGAGCUGGGGAGAAGGAGAUGUUUAAAGGAAACCUGGGAGAAGAAAGAUCACAGGGCAGCAGCUUGGGAGGAGCCAGACCUCCAGAGAGAAAGCCCUGAGAGGGAGUGCUCUGUAACAGAACGAGGAGGAACCCUGCAGCACCCAGCAGAGGAGAGAGGAGUCUGUGGUGGACGGGGAGGAGGAUGAAGAUGUUCUGUUGAGUUUUGAGUUGGGCCUUGUUACCCUGGAAGGGGCAGGAGCUGGCUGGAAACCCAAGUUGCUCCACCGGAGGACUAGAGUGAGGCAGAAGGGCUGCAGUGCUGGGUCUUGCCAGGAGGCAGCACCCUGGGAUGUACUCGAUUCCCUAGCUGGACAUCGAUUUGCAUACAAAUGGGAAUGCCUGCUGGAAAAGGGGCCUCAUUCCAGCUUCUCUUUGGCUGUGGCAAUGCAACAGUUCUCCCUUCUACAAAAAUGGAUGCCAUCUCUCCUUCCUCAGAUUGUCUGCCAGGCAAUGGGCCUGAUCUUGCUACGUGAACAUAAUUCCACUGAGGCCAAUGGGCCAGAUCCUGGGCUGGCAUAAACUGAUGCAGCUUCAUUAAAAUUGAGCGAUGCUAAUCUACCACCGCUGGAGACCUGGCCCAAUGCACUUUUACCAGAGUCAGGCCAACAUUUCGCUCCUCUGCUCUGGUGGAAAUCCAGAAGAACUCCCUUGACUUCAGUUGAGUUACAGUCUGAAUUUGAAAUAUGGCUGAGAAGGGCUUCAAAAAGCUUUCCUUUCAGUAUUUUACUUGCCCAAUACUAGAACAUCAUCACACUGUAGCCAUUUUCAUUAAAUUCUGAUUAAAUUGUUGGUAAUCCGCCUCUCGUUCCUGGCAGAUAACAUUCUUUCCCUACGAAUUUGUCCUGUGAGGAAAAGUUGUGUGGUUUUUAAUUUUUGUUUUUGUUUUCAAUGACCACAUAGUGACUUUGACUGGCUGAACUGUAGGUCUUGCCUUGUUUGUGAACCCAUGUCAGUUUUUGAAGCUCUUUUGAAUAUACAGUUCAAUUAAUUUGCACCAGCAGGGCAUAAAACACGAGGGGCUACAUUUUUCACGUGUGUGUGUGUGCAUGCACCUGCACACUCUGUGGAAGACAAGUAGAUAACACACUCUCAGCUCAGGUAUUUUAUGUAUGUUAUGAGCUAUUUAAGGAAUGUUUUCAGCAAAUAAAAACUAUUUCUUGUAUCCCUCCACUUGUAACGCCAUGUGCCUUAAUUCAACUAUGCAGGUCUUAGAGUGAGCCAUUGAAAACCUUUACAAAUAACCUAAAACCUUGGUUCGGUGAUCAUCUUUGUUCUGUUUGUGCAGCUCCUAGCACGAUGGAGCCUAUUCCAUAACUAGGGCUCUGCGGCACUAUGGUAAUACAAAUAAUAAUAUACCACAUUUCCCAAUCAUGUAUGUACCACUCUCUCGUUUACUCACCCAUUAAUCCACUCCUCAGGAUUUGUCCUCACAUUUCAAACUCACAGAGCCAAUCCAGCCAGCCUCCAUUUUCCUAAAACUCACCUCCCACACAAAUCUCUUCCUUCUCCUGCAGAAUGUUGACUGACUCUCGAAAUGUGGCAUGUCUAGCCCAUGUUAACCCUUCCUGAGCACCGGGACUGGUGAGAUCAAGUCCUACGGUAGAGAGAACUUUUCUGUAAACAGUUUGAUUUAAGAAUCCAAGAUCUUGUGCCUUUCCAGAGCUGAGAGCGAGAUGCUGGGUUGUACUGGGAAUCCCCAUUGGUUUAAAACAG